rnacentral:lncRNA from 1 species
UCAUAUAUUAGAUAGAACUGUUGGAUUACAAUAGUGUAUAUUACAGGAGGAACAUCAUCCAAAUGUGAUGCAUAAUCUGACUAUUUUAUUAACAACAAAACUUACAUUGAAAGCAUCCAUCAACAACUUCCCUACAACUUAACUAAAAAUCAAGGAGGAACAACAUCCAAUAUACGCCAUCCCUACAACUUAACUAAAACUGAAAGCAUCCAUCAUCAUCAUCAUCAUCAUCAUGAACCGGAACAUCAACAUCAUCAUUGCAGUAUACUUUCCACACACCAUAUAGUCAUCCAUUUCUUUUGAAUCUACAAACAAGAUAACAAAAUGAGUUGUUAAUACACAAAGAUUGCCAUGAUGCAAGUAGUAAUAGAGGCAAGAUAUUAGUUUUUUUAUGCAUUACCGAGAGUAUUGCAGUUUUUUCAACUCCAUACCAAAUUUUCAGUUUUCACAAGUGCCAUAUCGACAUGCACUGCCCAGAAUCCAUUUCUAAUUUCAGCACCAUCAAGUUUAAAUUUAGGAUCACAACUUACAAUCGUACCAAGAGCUACGUCCUAGUUGUGAUUUUUCAGGCUCUUCAAGAAUACUUUAGUUCCUGCAUGUUAGAGAAAUCAAAGUUACCAUUGGCAGAAUCAUCUUCAUCACCCAUGACAAGACAGACAAAAUAGGGGAACAUAUGAAAUGAAUUUGAGCAGUCUUACAAGUAGUUCACUAGCACCGAACAAACUCAGCGAACAACUUUGAUCUCUCUUACUGGUUGCAUUAGUAGCUUUUUUGUUUUUUGUUUUUUGUCUGGACAACACUCUUAUAGCAAAGUAGAGGUAAUAAAGGUAUAAACAAGCUAGCACUAUAGUUUGAGCAAAAUAUGUAUCUGGUUACGAAAAGAUACUAGCUUGUUCGCAGUAGAAGUUUUUCUCCCACACGUACACUGACAUUCUCAAGCAAAGUAUCUUUGUUCUGAACAACAUUCUAAUAGCAACACGACUAGUAGAUACAUAAACAUCGAAGCGAUAUAUAUUGAAAUAUUGUAUAUGGUAAUGGAAAUAUACCUUGAGUGCAGCAGCAUUUAUUUUCCCUUGCCGUGUACUGAAAUUCUGAUCAAAAGUUUCUUGGUUCUGGACAACAUUCACAAAGCAAUAAGUAAACACACAUAAACAUGGGAGCACUAUAGUUUGAUCAUAAUUUGGUAUAUCAGACUAUGGAGAUACCUCAUGUGCAGCAGAACCUUUUUCUAGUUGCCGUGCACUGUAACCAUUAUGAACCAUGAAUUAUAUGUUACUAUAAUGAAUAAUCAUAUAUUGCAAUCAAUAAGGAAUGAGCAAACUUACCAUCUUCAUUUUCAUCUACAUCAGCAUCAUCCCAAUCUGUGAAACCUUCUUUAUCAUUAGUAGUUAUUUCUUAGACAUCAGAUGAUUCAACAUUUUUUUCAACAGAAUUAUGAUGUUUGAUUGGUUCUUCU